rnacentral:lncRNA from 1 species
UUUUAUAUUGUAAUUUUUUUAAGCGACAGAAUCUGGAGAUCCUUUUUUCGCUUCCUAUUAUUCCUUCAUUUGUACGGAAUUAUCAUUAUAAAUUUUCUUUUCUUUCUAUUCUUUUCUUAUAUUUCGCCUUCUCUUUAAUAGAUGUCAUUUUCUUAAUUCUUUACUUAUUUUAAAUUUCAUACGGAAAAGUUAUUGCGCGCAGGUCGAGUUUUUUUUCGAAAUUGGAUUUAGGUUUUCGAAGAGGAAGUCUCACUCUUUUUGGUGGCACGAGACUCAACGUGUAGCGUCGUUGUGUAGGCGUUUUGGUUGACAUUUGGGUGAUUCAUUUGGUCAUAAUUUGAUUUAACGCAUCCGAAUUAAUCGGGAUCAUCACAUCGACAAUUUAUUUGAGAACAAGUUUAAGUUCUUUCUUACGGUUAACCCGGCUAUUUUGCGUUUUGAGUCGAUUUACUUUUCACACGUGCGAGGCCUUUAACAUCUGAGGCCUCCUAUUUUGGGAUAUUAUUAUUCCGGGAAUAGUUUCUUUGGAUUUAUACAUUGGGAUUUUACCAUUCCAAAAAAAAAAAAAAAAAAAAAAA